CUGAGCAUGAAAAGCUUCCCAAUCCGCCUUACCGGAAUACUUUGGGGUCUUAACGGAUACGGACGCAGCCGGGGGCUGGGCGCCACCAUGUUUGUUUACAUCCUGAGCCCCAGAUUCCCGCCGCGUCGACGUCACCCCUUCGGUCCGCCCACCAGAAUCCGCGCGAAACACAUUAGACGAAGCACUCAUGCCCGCUUCAGCCGCCAUCACUCUAACGUCCUCCCUCAAGCGGCCUCUGGGAUCCGACGCCCUGGCGAUCUCCUCAGCCAGAUCCUCCGACGUCCAUGCACACGCACCUCCUUGGCCAUAAUCGUCCCCUACCUCCACCUCCACUUUUGGAUUCCCACGAAGCAUUUUCAACCCCGUUCUCACCUACGUUAGCUAGCCACCCUAAUCUGCUAGCUGGCUAACUUUUAUACACGUUUUUACUUCUGACACCAGUGUAAUGACCUGACUAGAUCAUGAAGGAACAAUUGUCCAGACAGAGGAUGGAGUUAACGAAUGGACGGUUUAUUAACCCAACUUAACACAGGCUACUGUUUGGCCGUAGCCCACGCCAAAUAAAUGAAAGGUACACUACAAACCAACCGUGACCUUCUCUUGUGAAGCCCAGACGUAAGAGAGAGAACAAUGGCUAAACCCGGUCUUAACUUCCAAUGCUCCAUCCCCCUGCCCAACCCCCCUUCACGCCACUCCGCCAACCACCAGGCUGCCCGGUAUCAGAACAUUCCAGGCAUUCCCGUGAUUGGCAGAUAGCAGGUUGAUUGGCAUGACCCCGCGAACACUGAAGUCAACAAAUGAGAGUGCCUGGGGAAUGGGAGUGGAGCUAGGCACUGCAAGGCCUGGAUUAACUUCCACAUCACCAGAGGAACAGAGGAGGAGUAGGAUAACGGUACGGCUAAAGGCUAAAAGAACUGGUCGUCUAGUACGUUCAGAACAGAGAGUAAAAGGAGCAGAUUUCUGGGCACGGUGGAAUAGAUUCAAGGCAUAAUGUACAGACAAAGGUAUGGUAGGAUGUGAAUACAGUGUGGGUAAACCUGUGCAUAGAGUGACGAUGAAAGAGAUAUUGUCUCUAGAAAUAUUAUUUAAACCAGGUGAUGUCACCGCAUGUGUGGGAGGUGGAACUAAAGUGUUAACUAAGGCGUAUUGAGCAGGGCUAGAGGCUCUACAGUGAAAUGAGGCAACAAUUACUAACCAAAACAGCAAUGGACAAGGCAUAUUGACGUCAGGGAGAGGCAUGCGUAGCCGAG
rnacentral:lncRNA from 1 species